rnacentral:rRNA from 1 species
UGCGUAGGCGGCGCGGAAAGUAGGGUGUGAAAUCCCUCGGCUCAACCGAGGAACUGCGCCCUAAACUACCGUGCUCGAGGGAGGUAGAGGUGAGCGGAACUGAGGGUGGAGCGGUGAAAUGCGUUGAUAUCCUCAGGAACACCGGUGGCGAAAGCGGCUCACUGGACCUCUUCUGACGCUGAGGCACGAAAGCUAGGGUAGCGAACG